AGAGUUUGAUCCUGGCUCAGAAUGAACGUUGGCGGCGUGGAUUAGGCAUGCAAGUCGAGCGAUAACCCGCCGCAAGGCGGGGGAAAGCGGCAAACGGGGUAGUAAUGCGUAGGUGACGUGCCCUCAGGUCUGGGAUAGCCACGGGAAACUGUGAUUAAUACCGGAUGACCUCUCUGGAUCUGAAUUCUGGGGAGCAAAGGUGAGAUUCCGCCGGAGGAGCGGCUUGCGUGGUAUUAGCUAGUUGGUGAGGUAAUGGCUCACCAAGGCAAAGAUGCCUAGGGGGUGUGAGAGCACGACCCCCACCACUGGGACUGAGAUACUGCCCAGACACCUACGGGUGGCUGCAGUCGAGAAUCUUCGGCAAUGGGCGCAAGCCUGACCGAGCGACGCCGCGUGCGGGAUGAAGGCCUUCGGGUUGUAAACCGCUGUCAGAGGGGAUGAAAUUCCGCAGGGCAAUCCCUGCGGAUUGACAGAGCCUCAGAGGAAGCACGGGCUAAGUUCGUGCCAGCAGCCGCGGUAAUACGAACUGUGCAAACGUUAUUCGGAUUCACUGGGCUUAAAGGGUGCGUAGGCGGCUGUUUAAGUAGGGUGUGAAAGCCCCCGGCUCAACCGGGGAAUUGCGCUCUAAACUGGACAGCUUGAGUGAGACAGGGGUGUGCGGAACUUCCGGUGGAGCGGUGAAAUGCGUUGAUAUCAUCAGGAACACCAGUGGCGAAAGCGGCUUACUGGGUCUCUUCUGACGCUGAGAUACGAAAGCUAGGGGAGCGAAGGGGAUUAGAUACCCCCGUAGUCCUAGCUGUAAACGUUGAGCACUUGAUCGGGGACCCCCCCAUAGGUUCUCGGUCGUAGCGAAAGUGUUAAGUGCUCCGCCUGGGGAGUAUGGUCGCAAGGCUGAAACUUAAAGGAAUUGACGG
rnacentral:rRNA from 1 species